CGGAUAUAGUUCAGUGGCAGAACUUCAGCUUCCCAAGCUGAUAAUGCGGGUUCGAUUCCCGUUAUCCG
rnacentral:tRNA from 1 species